ensembl:lncRNA
GUCCAAGGCAAAGCCUUGGGCAGCCGGCUGAGGAGUCAGAUCUGUUCGCGGUAGGCAUCCAGCAGGCGGAGGCUUGCGUGUCGAGACCCCACCAGGUAAGAGAAUCAAGACUCAGAAAACCAAGUAGUGCAAGGCAUGGUUUGGAGGCUGCUGCAUGGGCAGGUGCUGACCAGGAGAGAGAGACAAAGGGUAGGAAAGACUAUCUGAGCAAGAAAACCAUGAUAUCAAAAUGUACUACCUGGGGUGCUGGAGAUUUAGCUCAGUGGUUCCGGCACCUGCCUCGUAAGCGCAAAGUCCCGAGUUCGAUCCCCAGUACCCCAAAAAACCCCCCGAAACAAAAUGUACUAUCUGGGAAGCUGGAUGUGGUGGCUUCUGCCUGUAAUCCCAGCACUCAGGAGGCUGAGGCAGGAGGAUUGCCAUGAGUUCAAGGCCAGCAUGGGAUACGUAGUGAGUUCAAAGCCAGGCUGAACUACAAAGCAAGACCCUGUUUCAAGGAAAAAAAAAAAAAAAAAAGAAAACCAAGUAGAAUGCUGGGGAUAUAGCUCCAGUAACAUGAUAG